rnacentral:rRNA from 1 species
UAGCCGCAAUUAGUGCUAAGGUAGCAUAAUCAUUUGUCUUCUAAAUAAAGACUAGAACAAAAGAUUUAACAUUUUUUUUAUUUUAUUAAAUUUUUAAUUUUAAAAUUUUUUUAAUUGUAAAAAGACAAUUAUUUUCAAAAAAGACGACAAGACCCUAUUGAACUUAACUUAAGUUAUACUGGGGCAGUCAAUCAAUUAAUAUUUUAAUUUAUAUAAUAUAUAACAAAUCUAAUAUUAUUUAACUAAUCAAGUUACCAUAGGGAUAACAGCGCAAUAAUAUUUUAAAGUUCUUAUCUAAAAAAUAGAUUACGACCUCGAUGUUGAAUUAAUUACCUAAUUAAAGCAAGAUUUAAUUAUUAAGGAAGUCUGUUCGACUUUUAAAAAAUUACAUGAUUUGAGUUCAGACCGGUGUAAACCAGGUCGGUUUCUAUCUUUUAAUAGUUUUUUACAGUACGAAAGGACCUAAAAAUAUAAUUAUAUUAUUAUAUUAGCAAAUAAAUGCAUUAGAAUUAGAAUCUAAUCAAAAUU